AUCGGCGGGUCGGAAGUUGAGAAAUGGAGAAAGCAUUGAAAAUCUACCGGAAGUUCUGAGAUUGGUGAGGAGGUUGAAGAAAAUUCCCUCUCGGCUGAUCAGAAAAGUAAUAGGGAAGGAAGGGUGUUGAAUCACCCAGAAGAUUCGCGAAGAGACCAAGGCCAAUAUCAAAAUCGCCGACGCCAUUGUUAGACAUGAGGGACGUGUGAUUAUAAUAAGCUCAAAGGAUAGUGAUGAUUCGAGUAGUGAUGCUGAGAAAGCGUUGCAGCAUAUAGCUGGAUUGAUUCUGAAUGGGUGUUCAAUGGAUGUUACUUUGUGUAUUCUGGGUUGACAUGGUGAAGUUUGAAUUGUCAAGUCGUUGGGUUCGAAUGCUUUUUCAUGUUAGUGAAUUUGUAACAAAAAAUGAAUAAUUAUGUCAAUUUACAGGCACUGAAGUAUUUACUUUAAUUUGA